AGAGUUUGAUUCUGGCUCAGGAUGAACGCUGGCGGCGUGCUUAACACAUGCAAGUCGAGCGAAGCGAUUUGACGGAAGUUUUCGGAUGGAAGUCAGAUUGACUGAGCGGCGGACGGGUGAGUAGCGCGUGGGUAACCUGCCUCAUACAGGGGGAUAACAGUUAGAAAUGACUGCUAAUACCGCAUAAGCGCACAGUGCCGCAUGGUACGGUGUGAAAAACUCCGGUGGUAUGAGAUGGACCCGCGUCUGAUUAGCUGGUUGGUGGGGUAACGGCCUACCAAGGCGACGAUCAGUAGCCGACCUGAGAGGGUGACCGGCCACAUUGGGACUGAGACACGGCCCAAACUCCUACGGGAGGCAGCAGUGGGGAAUAUUGCACAAUGGGGGAAACCCUGAUGCAGCAACGCCGCGUGAGUGAAGAAGUAUUUCGGUAUGUAAAGCUCUAUCAGCAGGGAAGAAAAUGACGGUACCUGACUAAGAAGCCCCGGCUAACUACGUGCCAGCAGCCGCGGUAAUACGUAGGGGGCAAGCGUUAUCCGGAUUUACUGGGUGUAAAGGGAGCGUAGACGGCGAGACAAGUCUGAAGUGAAAGCCCGGGGCUCAACCCCGCGGACUGCUUUGGAAACUGCCUUGCUGGAGUGUCGGAGAGGUAAGUGGAAUUCCUAGUGUAGCGGUGAAAUGCGUAGAUAUUAGGAGGAACACCAGUGGCGAAGGCGGCUUACUGGACGAUAACUGACGUUGAGGCUCGAAAGCGUGGGGAGCAAACAGGAUUAGAUACCCUGGUAGUCCACGCCGUAAAC
rnacentral:rRNA from 1 species